UCGAAUAAUAAAAGCAAAUCAUUCUACCACCAAAAAUAUGAUUGAAAUUUCCAUUUAAACCUCAAAAGUUUGACCAACACUUCAAUCAACUGUUAUCUAUUUGGUUACCCUUCAGACGUUCGAUUUUCAAUGUUUAGAGAAUUAAUGACAUCAUCUCAAUUUAUCCGAAAGUAAACAACAACAAAAUUGAGAGAAAAAAAAAUCGGAAGAAAAGGGACCUGCAAAGUCGUGAACUCUCCGGUGAUUUUCUCAGGAACCGAAAACCUGUUGUCGUUGGCGGCGGUAAUUACGGCUCCGAAAUCCAAACUGAACUUCUGCAACCAAUGCGUGUGAACUGACCUUCUAAUUGGGGAAGAAUAGAAUUAGGCGAACAAAAGAGAGAUAUUAAGGGUUGGCUCUUUACUCCGGGGGCUUUCAUUUGAUUUGAACCCACGUCUGAAUUAAUACUGUUAGUUAAUUAAUGAGUUAAAUAAAGAAAAAG
rnacentral:lncRNA from 1 species